rnacentral:lncRNA from 1 species
CCCAAUUCUAAUUUAAUUCAGAAGAACAAACAGGGCAUCACUCAGCGGACUUCAAAUCCCCAGUCAGAAGAUUUUGCCCGUGGAGCAAAUCGUUUCAUGGGCCAUCUACCCCACCUACUCCCUCCUGCCACAGCAAGGAGGUGAAAAUAGCUCAUGAAGCCAUGGGGAGUUCAAAGUGGAACUGUGAAGUUUCCCAAGCUCCAUGCAGGUCACUGAAGUCCACCCUGCAAACAACAGUCCUUCACCUUCUGAAGACCUGUCACCUAUGAAGC